rnacentral:rRNA from 1 species
AUUGAACGCUGGCGGCAGGCUUAACACAUGCAAGUCGAGCGCGCGGCGGACGUGUGAGUAAUGUCUGGGAAACUGCCUGAUGAGGGGGAUUACCUCUGGAAACGGUUGCUAAUACCGCCUACCCUCAGAUUUGUCCAGAGGGGAUUGGCCAGUUGGUGGGGUAAUGGCUCACCCAGGCGACGAUCCCUAGCCGGUCUGAGAGGAGGACCAGCCACACUGGAACUGAGACACGGGCCGGACUCCUACGGGAGGCAGCGGUGGGGAAUAUUGCACAAUGGGCGGAAGCCUGAUGCAGCCAUGCCGCGUGUGUGAAGAAGGCCUUCGGGUUGUAAAGCACUUUCAGCGAGGAGGCGUUACUCGCAGAAGAAGCACCGGCUAACUCCGUGCCAGCAGCCGCGGUGAUUC